rnacentral:rRNA from 1 species
CAAGUCGAGCGAACGGACGAGAAGCUUGCUUCUCUGAUGUUAGCGGCGGACGGGUGAGUAACACGUGGAUAACCUACCUAUAAGACUGGGAUAACUUCGGGAAACCGGAGCUAAUACCGGAUAAUAUUUUGAACCGCAUGGUUCAGAAGUAAAAGACGGUCUUGCUGUCACUUAUAGAUGGAUCCGCGCUGCAUUAGCUAGUUGGUAAGGUAACGGCUUACCAAGGCAACGAUGCAUAGCCGACCUGAGAGGGUGAUCGGCCACACUGGAACUGAGACACGGUCCAGACUCCUACGGGAGGCAGCAGUAGGGAAUCUUCCGCAAUGGGCGAAAGCCUGACGGGAGCAACGCCGCGUGAGUGAUGAAGGUCUUCGGAUCGUAAAACUCUGUUAUUAGGGAAGAACAUAUGUGUAAGUAACUGUGCACAUCUUGACGGUACCUAAUCAGAAAGCCACGGCUAACUACGUGCCAGCAGCCGCGGUAAUACGUAGGUGGCAAGCGUUAUCCGGAAUUAUUGGGCGUAAAGCGCGCGUAGGCGGUUUUUUAAGUCUGAUGUGAAAGCCCACGGCUCAACCGUGGAGGGUCAUUGGAAACUGGAAAACUUGAGUGCAGAAGAGGAAAGUGGAAUUCCAUGUGUAGCGGUGAAAUGCGCAGAGAUAUGGAGGAACACCAGUGGCGAAGGCGACUUUCUGGUCUGUAACUGACGCUGAUGUGCGAAAGCGUGGGGAU